GCAGAGAUGCUUUGGUGCCUUCGGGAACUGUGAGACAGGUGCUGCAUGGCUGUCGUCAGCUCGUGUUGUGAAAUGUUGGGUUAAGUCCCGCAACGAGCGCAACCCUUAUCCUUUGUUGCCAGCGGUUCGGCCGGGAACUCAAAGGAGACUGCCAGUGAUAAACUGGAGGAAGGUGGGGAUGACGUCAAGUCAUCAUGGCCCUUACGACCAGGGCUACACACGUGCUACAAUGGCAUAUACAAAGAGAAGCGACCUCGCGAGAGCAAGCGGACCUCAUAAAGUAUGUCGUAGUCCGGAUUGGAGUCUGCAACUCGACUCCAUGAAGUCGGAAUCGCUAGUAAUCGUAGAUCAGAAUGCUACGGUGAAUACGUUCCCGGGCCUUGUACACACCGCCCGUCACACCAUGGGAGUGGGUUGCAAAAGAAGUAGGUAGCUUAACC
rnacentral:rRNA from 1 species